rnacentral:tRNA from 1 species
GCCCGUUUAGCUCAGUGGUAGAGCGUCUCACUCGUAUCCAUCCUGGUUACGGCAAUGAGAAGGUCCACGGUUCGAUCCCGUGAGGGGGCA